AUACUGGCGGCCAGUACUGCCACGAUGGCAAACGGUACAGUCCCAGUAUUGGACCGUUUUGAAAUUUCUACGUGGGGAGCGCUAUGAGUUUCAACGCACGUUCAUGAGGAACCAGGUUCUCUCUGUCUCUCUGUUCACGACAGCGUCGGCAGAAGGAACGUGACGUGAUUUACAUACUUAUGUAUAGGUAACGCGCCGGCGGGGUCCCUCUCGGUCAACAUCCUGCUUCCUGUCCUCUGUGUGUCGCAUGUACGAGCGUGGAGCAGCGCGUGUACGCGCGUACACGCGUAACUCGUGCGUAUGCACGUGCCCGUUACACGCGUCCGAUAGACGAAGUGCGGGCGCGUCGAUAACAGCCGCAGUCCGUUCGUAACGGUGAUUAAUGGCAAUUAGACGAACGGCGAGGAAUAUCGACAUGUCCAAUGCAAGCGUUUCAUACGUCCUCGUUAAUCCUGGCAGUAGCCAAAGGAUACAUCCCGCUCUCGCACGCGAUCUCGCACGUAACAAGACCAUACACCCAAUCCAUCAAGUCCGGGGCACAUCGCGGGAGAUUCGCGUCUACGAGUGAAUUGAUGGUGCCACACGCUCUCCCUGCAAUUUAUCGAAUAGCACCCUUAAGGGGGGAUUCUCAUGUAACGAGUCAAAAAAUUUUUUUUGCUUAAAUCAACUCUAAUACAUGUGGAAAAUAUGUUCCUAAAGUUACAAAUCGAUAUUCGACCUCUACGUAUAGUUAUAGUCGAGUUUUCGACCGCGCGUUGAGUAGGUAGCUGGGAGCGCUCGGAGCGGAGACACGCGUCUCGUCUGUCCUCACUCAUACACUCGUACAUAACAAACAGCUUCGCAGGUAUACGUCUAAUGGUUUUCUUUUGUUGUGAUAUACCUUCGCGUACUUGUAUAGCUGAGGCAGGAAAUUUUUACGAGAGCUUCAAUUCGUGUGUUUGGCGUUUGGCUCCGAAAUAUUUAUAUUGUGGCAUCCGAACAGUGGAAAUAGCCGCAUAUAUUGCUGCAGGAUUAUUCAACGAAGGCUAUUUCGCCGUUUUAAAAAUUAUGGACACAUUAGAACUAAAGAUCGGUACCCAUUGUAAGGAGUAUGCAGACUCGUAUGACGCCGCGCGAAUACGGCAACAGAAGUGACGAAGCCUCAGUAGCUCGAAAGAAGCUCGAACUGCUCGCAAAGAACUGAAUUUACAACAGCAGCAAUUAUACGAGGAUGCAGAAGGCCUACUAUAUGGCCCUGGAAUCGCCGAUUAGGACUACCAUUACAGCGGAUGCUAGACUGCACACCGUUUGACGCCUGCGACGCCGAAGCCGCUGAAGGCGGCGUCCAUACCUAUAUCUAUAUAUAUGUUUUUUUUAACCAAAAAAAUAUUUUUAUAUUCUCUUUACAUGUAUUGAUGUACUAUUAAAGUUUGAGAUCCUUUGACUAAAUACGUUCUUGAAAAAAAA